rnacentral:tRNA from 3 species
GGCCUGAUAGCUCAGUCGGUAGAGCAAAGGAUUGAAAAUCCUUGUGUCGGUGGUUCGAUUCCACCUCAGGCCACCA